rnacentral:rRNA from 1 species
AUUGAACGCUGGCGGCAGGCCUAACACAUGCAAGUCGAACGAGUGGCGGACGGGUGAGUAAUGUCUGGGAAACUGCCUGAUGGAGGGGGAUAACUACGGGAAACGGUAGCUAAUACCGCAUAGCAUCCGAUGUGCCCAGAUGGGAUUAGCUAGUUGGGGGGGUAACGGCUCACCAAGGCGACGAUCCCUAGCUGGUCUGAGAGGAAGACCAGCCAAACUGGAACGUAGACACUGGCCAGACUCCUACGGGAGGCAGCAGUGGGGAAUAUUGCACAAUUGGCGCAAGCCUGAUGCAGCCAUGCCGCGUGUAUGAAGAAGGCCUUCGGGUUGUAAAGUACGUUCAGCGGGGAGGCGUUACCCGCAGAAGAAGCACCGGCUAACUCCGUGCCAGCAGCCGCGGUAAUUC